rnacentral:misc_RNA from 1 species
UGGUUCUGGCAUCGAUGAAGAACGCAGCGAAAUGCGAUAAGUAAUGUGAAUUGCAGAAUUCAGUGAAUCAUCGAAUCUUUGAACGCACAUUGCGCCCACUAGUAUUCUGGUGGGCAUGCCUGUUCGAGCGUCAUUUCAACCCUCACGCUCCGCGUGGUGUUGGGGCCUUGCGAGAGCAACCCCCUAAAUCCAGUGGCGGACACGCUAGGUCUCCGAGCGCAGUAAUUCUUCUCGCUUCGGGCGUCCGGCGUGGGCUUGCCUCGCACCCAUCUUUCUAAGGUUGACCUCGGAUCAGGUAGGAAUACCCGCUGA